UGUCUCAUGGUGUAGUGGUUAAUGCCAUCCGCCUAACACGCGGAAGGUCCCAGGUUCGAAACCUGGUGGGGAAC